CUUGCCUGAUUUAACACAAACAACUCGGUCCAAGAGUUGUUUUGAACCUAUCAGAUGUCCCUCUGGGUCAAGAAGCCUCCACAUUUCUAAGGCAUAAUCUCUUUCAGCCAUAGUACAAACAUAAACUUCAAAUCGUUUGCGUCCUUUUGCAAUUAAAUAACUUCUUAAAUCCUCCCAUGCAGGUCGUAACCUCACAAGCACACUGGUAUCACGAUUCUACAUAAAAAACAGCCACAACAAUCAGAUAAUGCAAACAAUGUUAAAUUUCACAGAACUCAAAUUUUUUUAAGGAUGAACUUCACUUCCUCGUUUUCUAAACAGUUCCCCAAAAUCAUUGAAAAGCAAAAGCUACUCCAGAUUACUGAACGUUGUGCUUAAAAACAGGAAAUUAGAACAGCAACUGUGGUUAGAGCAACCUUUCUCACACCUAUAUCUGCCCACAAGAACUCUUUCAUACACAUGCACGUCCCUAACUGAUCACAGUACUUCCAAGAUCUUUUUAAUUCAAGCAUGGCAAAAUAUAUCCUUGAAUCAUAAGACAUAUGAGAGAUGUGCAUAAGCAAGCAUGCAGUGAGCAACAUCCAUCAUUGCACAACUUAAGGAUAUCCAAUUUCUAUCCUCUUAUUAUACAAACAUAUAAUUGGUAAACAAAUCACUAGUCAACGAACUUAUGUUUCAUUAAUCCACACAAUCCAAAUAAAUCAUAGAAACUGCACAACAGAAUAAACUUGUGAAGACAAACUCUGUACCUCUGCUUGAGGGGCAUAAUAUGGAGUGAAAGCUGGAACUACAUGAACUCUAGGCUGGUCCUUAUCUUCCCAAACCUUACAACGGUCAUCAAUAACCAUUGCCAUCUUUGGAUGGCACAAACCACGUUGAAAGACAUUUAGCAAAGAUUUCCUGGAACCUGCUAAGUUGAAAAUAAUAGAAGGGUUUAACAGUUGACAUUAAUUACAAUGUACCAGAAGCACAAACAAAGUAACAUAUCUUCAAACUCUAUGUUGAUUAAUAACUAUUAAAUGGAACUCCAAUUUCUAUCACCAGCAGUGACUUCAAUUUAAUAGAACUAUUGAUCAUGAGUAUGCUAAUGGUAAACUAAAAAAAUCUGCAACUUAGCUCCAAGAAAGCACCUAGAAUAACAGGGAAUGAUAGAAUAACUUCCAAAAAUAGCAUGUUCCAAAGAGAUAAUGCAUCAAGAUCCAACCAAGGAAUUAAAGCCAAAAUGUGCUGGGAAUGCUUGCCUGAUUUAACACAAACAACUCGGUCCAAGAGUUGUUUUGAACCUAUCAGAUGUCCCUCUGGGUCAAGAAGCCUCCACAUUUCUAAGGCAUAAUCUCUUUCAGCCAUAGUACAAACAUAAACUUCAAAUCGUUUGCGUCCUUUUGCAAUUAAAUAACUUCUUAAAUCCUCCCAUGCAGGUCGUAACCUCACAAGCACACUGGUAUCACGAUU
rnacentral:lncRNA from 1 species